rnacentral:rRNA from 1 species
AGUGAACGCUGGCGGUAGGCCUAACACAUGCAGGUCGAACGGCAGCACAGUAAGAGCUUGCUCUUACGGGUGGCGAGUGGCGGACGGGUGAGGAAUACAUCGGAAUCUACUUUUUCGUGGGGGAUAACGUAGGGAAACUUACGCUAAUACCGCAUACGACCUACGGGUGAAAGCAGGGGAUCUUCGGACCUUGCGCGAUUGAAUGAGCCGAUGUCGGAUUAGCUAGUUGGCGGGGUAAAGGCCCACCAAGGCGACGAUCCGUAGCUGAUCUGAGAGGAUGAUCAGCCACACUGGAACUGAGACACGGUCCAGACUCCUACGGGAGGCAGCAGUGGGGAAUAUUGGACAAUGGGCGCAAGCCUGAUCCAGCCAUACCGCGUGGGUGAAGAAGGCCUUCGGGUUGUAAAGCCCUUUUGUUGGGAAAGAAAAGCAGCAGGUUAAUACCCCGCUGUUCUGACGGUACCCAAAGAAUAAGCACCGGCUAACUUCGUG